AUACGGAGGGGGCUAGCGUUGUUCGGAUUUACUGGGCGUAAAGCGUGUGCAGGCUGUUUUGUAAGUCGGACGUGAGAGCUCUCGGCUCAACCGGGAGAUGCCGUUCGAUACUGCAAAACUUGAGGGCAGUAGAGGAGUGUGGAAUUCCGGGUGUAGUGGUGAAAUGCGUAGAUAUCCGGAGGAACACCAGUGGCGAAGGCGACACUCUGGGCUGCUCCUGACGCUAAGACACGAAAGCUAGGGUAGCAAACGGGAUUAGAAACCCCAGUAGUCC
rnacentral:rRNA from 1 species